AUUUAUUCAUUUAUCAAUAUCUAUCCAUUUCUAAUGACCUAUACAAUGAUAUUCCUUUAAAUGUCUGAAGCAUUAAUGGUUACAGAUGUGAGGGCUUUUUCUUGGGGAGGUGACCCAACACGUAUCCCAGUAUCCUAACUGCCUCUCUUCUCAGUCACAUGCUUGCUGCAGCUAUCCUUCAUUUGCCAGAGGACAAUCAGAGAGUCCACUGACAGCCCCUACAGCAGUGCUGCCGAAUACUGGGCUCCAUAACAGAAGCCCACCGGGUUCUGAUGCAUCAAAGCACAUGGAAGAAAAAAACCCCUAAGAGCCUAGAGUGAAGCGAUCCGUUUCAUAAUCACUGCUUUUCUUUUGAUCUAUACCACAAAGAGGCUGACUACCAACUACAACAGAGCUGUAAAAUCCCAACAAACUACAUUAAUUCAGGUGAAAGAGCGACAUAACCUAAUUUUGAUCUAUAAUCCUUAGAAAAACCCGACGUACCUCAUGCCAGGGGCUUAAAAGGGAGGUCUGAACACAAUGCCUGAUUAGGGAUGACUGUUUGGCAGAGCCACGGAUAGGCAAAAUUAGAUUAAUUUGCUUUUGACACACUGUAAUAAUCUAAUAGCAUUUAGCUCAGUGAACCCAGGCUUAAACAAUGGCGGUGAAUGCUCUUUAACCUGAAACCCAGCCAGAAGCAGCUCCAGAACCCAGCCAACACAUCUAAGGAUUAAAAGCCCUCGGUAACCUGAUGGAUGCAACUCCAAUUACAAGCUUAUCAAACUGACAAAAACCGCAGCACGGCUAUUUAUAGAUCGAACCGAGAUAGACCGCCAGCACUGGCCUCCCAAAAGUGGUCAUAAGGCAAUCUGGCCCACACAAGCCACCAGCGUCGAACAAUUCUUCUGCCGCAUGUUGACGCGUACCCUCUGCACACUGACGUGGGCCGCUGGAUGUGACUGAUGCAUGUUGUGCAUUCGUGUGUCAGUUUUGAAGCUAACUGAAAGCAGCACUUGACAGAGAAGAGAGAAUGAUGGGAGCAGAAAGAGAGAGAGAAAUGAAAAUGAGUCAUAUCUCUAAGGAUGCAGACAGAGAGGAGAGCUGUGCACAGGCACGGCUGUCACUGGCCGCAGACACAUGAAUAAAUAAAGGCAUUAUAAUGAAGACAACUCUCCGUCUGCCCAUCCGAGCCUGCCCAGCCUGGCACCAAAGCUCAGGAGGGAGAGAAAGAGAGGAGCGAAUUAAAAAAAAAAAGAAGAAAGAUCGAGAGACAGAACGAGACAGGAGAGGAAGAGAGAGCGGCCCAUCACUGUGAUUGACAAUGAUGAGCACUGUCUGCUUCUAUUAAAUCAAUCAAUCAUCGCUAUAGGACUCGAGUCUCGGUUCUCUCAAUAGCCUAACAAGCUCAGGACUUCACUGUUUCUCUCAGCCGUUUACUCUCAUGUCCCCCCCGCAAAGUGAAACAUCUGGUCAGUUUCUCUUAUCUGCUUUAUUUCACGCUUAUGGGGUGUUGUGUGCCAUUUCCGCUGCGUGCCCCCUGCCAAUGGUGUCAUAUUUGGACUGCUGUCUGUGACUUCUCUUUAACACCUCCCUCCGCUGGGAUGUGACAUCCUCACCACAGCGACAGGGCCGGAGGAGGAAGACAGCCGGCGACUCGGCGAGGGAUGAUCAGAUGCGUGCGGGCCUGUCAGGAGUCUUCAUCGCUCCGUCCAGACUAGGAAUAAGUCAUGCUGCUUGAGUUAUUCAAGAACCGACUAGUCGAUUAUGGAGAUCGACUAGACCUUUUCUUUCUUUCUUUUUUUUUUUCUGUCCAGCUGAAAGAGACACCAACACAGCUGGUAUUAACCCAGUUUGAAAUUGACCCCACCCCCCCGCCCUCCUCUGAGAAAGAAAGAGCCUUUCAAAAGCUGGAGGCAGUGCUCCAUUCAAACCGAGCUACAGGAUCAGAGGCUUUGCAGGGUGACCUUUGACCCCACAGUGCCACAAGGGUUUGCAAAGCAACAAAAGCCAGUUUUACAUCCCUCACAGCCUGACAAGAACAUGGUAGGAAAUUGUCAAUUUAUCCAAAGAAUGAAAACAAGCCAGGAGAAUAUUGGUUGACUGAGUUAAUGAAUGCAUUUUUUUUUUUAAAUUCACACAUUACAACCUUUUACACAAAGGUGAAUACGAGUCCUGUUUUUAUUUUGUUCAACACUGAGACUCGCCUGCUACUUGCUGAAUUGAGAAAAGAGGACCUUGGAUUUCUUUGUGCUGUACAGCUAGAGAUGUAAAAGGAGAAAUCUAUAAACUUCUCAACACAUUUGAGAGACAAGCAGGGUAUAAAAAUAAAAAAAACUGAAUGAAUGAAUGAACGUGUGUGUGUGUGU